UGGCUCUCGCAUCGAUGAAGAACGCAGCGAAAUGCGAUAAGUAAUGUGAAUUGCAGAAUUCAGUGAAUCAUCGAAUCUUUGAACGCAAAUUGCGCCCUUUGGUAUUCCGAAGGGCAUGCCUGUUUGAGUGUCAUAUAGACCUUCACCCGACCAUUUGCUUGGUUUCGAGGUGCUUUGGACGUCUGCCAUUAACCUUGGCUCGUCUUAAAUGUCUGAGUGGGGAAAACCUUCGGCGUGAUAAGUCUUCGUCAUUGACCUUUCCACUAUAAUAACACUUCAAUCUCUGACCUCAAAUCAGGUAGGACUACCCGCUGA
rnacentral:misc_RNA from 1 species